rnacentral:lncRNA from 1 species
GGGCCUUUUCAGACAGGGAUAGUGACAGGACAAGAUGUAGCUACUAGUGUCUUCUGGAUUAGUUGGUGAAUCUCACAGAAGAUUUAGAUUUAAUACCCUUACAAGGCGAGAAGCAGAAGAAAGCCAACCGGAAGGCUUACGGCAAACGGGUCACAUCCAAAGUUUCUGACCACUGAGCCAGCUGGCGGCAUUAACAAGCAGCUUUAUUUUAUAAAUUUAACUGAGGACCUCGGACGGCUCUCUGCUCUUCAUACCCAGAAAAAUCAGUGCUUCAGCAGAUCAGUACCUGAAAUUCCAAUUUAUAACCGGCGU